UACGUAGGGGGCAAGCGUUGUUCGGAAUUACUGGGCGUAAAGCGCGUGUAGGCGGCCUCUUCAGUCUGGUGUGAAAGCCCGGGGCUCAACCCCGGAAGUGCAUUGGAUACUGGGAGGCUGGAGUACCGGAGAGGAGGGUGGAAUUCCUGGUGUAGCGGUGAAAUGCGUAGAUAUCAGGAGGAACACCUGUGGCGAAGGCGGCCCUCUGGACGGAUACUGACGCUGAGACGCGAAAGCGUGGGGAGCAAACAGG
rnacentral:rRNA from 1 species